AUUGAACGCUGGCGGCAUGCUUUACACAUGCAAGUCGAACGGUAACAGGUCUUCGGAUGCUGACGAGUGGCGAACGGGUGAGUAAUACAUCGGAACGUGCCUAGUAGUGGGGGAUAACUACUCGAAAGAGUAGCUAAUACCGCAUGAGAUCUACGGAUGAAAGCAGGGGACCUUCGGGCCUUGUGCUACUAGAGCGGCUGAUGGCAGAUUAGGUAGUUGGGGGGGUAAAGGCUUACCAAGCCUGCGAUCUGUAGCUGGUCUGAGAGGACGACCAGCCACACCGGGACUGAGACACGGCCCAGACUCCUACGGGAGGCAGCAGUGGGGAAUUUUGGACAAUGGGCGAAAGCCUGAUCCAGCAAUGCCGCGUGCAGGAUGAAGGCCCUCGGGUUGUAAACUGCUUUUGUACGGAACGAAAAGCCUGGGGCUAAUAUCCCCGGGUCAUGACGGUACCGUAAGAAUAAGCACCGGCUAACUACGUGCCAGCCGCCGCGGUAA
rnacentral:rRNA from 1 species